UACGUAGGGCGCGAGCGUUGUCCGGAUUUAUUGGGCGUAAAGAGCUCGUAGGCGGCUUGUUGCGUCGACCGUGAAAACUGUGGCUUAACUACAGGCUUGCGGUCGAUACGGGCGGGCUGGAGUUCGGUAGGGGAGACUGGAAUUCCUGGUGUAGCGGUGAAAUGCGCAGAUAUCAGGAGGAACACCGGUGGCGAAGGCGGGUCUCUGGGCCGAUACUGACGCUGAGGAGCGAAAGCGUGGGGAGCGAACAGG
rnacentral:rRNA from 1 species